AACAGAAGAGGCGGCUCGGAAGUGACGACACCGAGCACGCCAUUAAAUAGCAGUAGGCCGUACUCCCCGCUCUCUCCGUCUUAGCGCCAUCUUCCUUGAGACUCCUGCGCCAUGAGAGCGAAGUGGCGGAAGAAGAGAAUGCGCAGGCUGAAGCGCAAGAGAAGAAAGAUGAGGCAGAGGUCCAAGUAGAACCAGCUCGUGCACCCACGACGCCUGCGGGAGCAGAAGCGAGGGAUGCUGCAGGCCGGGACACCGGGGACAAGCUGUUGGACUGUAGCUGCUGUCGGUACUGAGUCUCGGCAGACCCGGAACGUCGUCACCUCGCCGAGAUCACCUGGGGAAAUGACUGCCUUUCUUACAACCAAACCCAGUCCCGCUGGCCCUCCGCCCCGGACCUCUGGCAUUCCGGACUAGUUCUGUUCUCUGUUGUGGCCAAGUGUAACUCGUGUACAAUAAACCCUCUUGCUGUCAGCUGAAGAAUCAAA